rnacentral:lncRNA from 1 species
AUGUGUCACGUAGUGCCAGCUAAGGUCCUGAAGAUACCAAAAGAAAGAAGAAACAGAGGAAAAAUAAGGUUUGGAAAUGGGAAGUAUUACACCACCAUCUCUACUUGCAGCUGCUACUGUUUCUACUUACUGCUACUUACUACUACUGCUACUGCUGCUGCUGCUACUACUACUACUACAUUGCCACCACCAGAACUACUACUAUUCCUCUUUCUCCUUCAAAAUAUGAAACAUUUGAAUGAUAUGCAGUGA